rnacentral:lncRNA from 1 species
GUUGCCCCUCUGGUUUGUGAAAUAGUGGCGCACUUGAAUGUGCUGCCCUAUGACUUGACACCUCCUGCUGUGCCUUGGCCUGCUUUGAGGUUUGAGCUUUUGAAUGGUAUAUUGACGCCUUAGACUUUUCAAUAUCCUUUAUCUUUUCGCUCAUUUUUGCUAUGGUUUCCUUCAUUUUCUCCAGCUCUUCUAUAGGCAUUUUUAUGAACCCAUGAGUGGAUUCUGAUGCAGCAGCCCUUGGUUCCUUGCUGCUUGUGGGCCCC